GGGUUGUGAGGUUAAGCGACUAAGCGUACACGGUGGAUGCCCUGGCAGUCAGAGGCGAUGAAGGACGUGCUAAUCUGCGAUAAGCGUCGGUAAGGUGAUAUGAACCGUUAUAACCGGCGAUUUCCGAAUGGGGAAACCCAGUGUGAUUCGUCACACUAUCAUUAACUGAAUCCAUAGGUUAAUGAGGCGAACCGGGGGAACUGAAACAUCUAAGUACCCCGAGGAAAAGAAAUCAACCGAGAUUCCCCCAGUAGCGGCGAGCGAACGGGGAGCAGCCCAGAGCCUGAAUCAGUGUGUGUGUUAGUGGAAGCGUCUGGAAAGGCGCGCGAUACAGGGUGACAGCCCCGUACACAAAAAUGCACAUGCUGUGAGCUCGAUGAGUAGGGCGGGACACGUGGUAUCCUGUCUGAAUAUGGGGGGACCAUCCUCCAAGGCUAAAUACUCCUGACUGACCGAUAGUGAACCAGUACCGUGAGGGAAAGGCGAAAAGAACCCCGGCGAGGGGAGUGAAAAAAGAACCUGAAACCGUGUACGUACAAGCAGUGGGAGCACGCUUAGGCGUGUGACUGCGUACCUUUUGUAUAAUGGGUCAGCGACUUAUAUUCUGUAGCAAGGUUAACCGAAUAGGGGAGCCGAAGGGAAACCGAGUCUUAACUGGGCGUUAAGUUGCAGGGUAUAGACCCGAAACCCGGUGAUCUAGCCAUGGGCAGGUUGAAGGUUGGGUAACACUAACUGGAGGACCGAACCGACUAAUGUUGAAAAAUUAGCGGAUGACUUGUGGCUGGGGUGAAAGGCCAAUCAAACCGGGAGAUAGCUGGUUCUCCCCGAAAGCUAUUUAGGUAGCGCCUCGUGAAUUCAUCUCCGGGGGUAGAGCACUGUUUCGGCAAGGGGGUCAUCCCGACUUACCAACCCGAUGCAAACUGCGAAUACCGGAGAAUGUUAUCACGGGAGACACACGGCGGGUGCUAACGUCCGUCGUGAAGAGGGAAACAACCCAGACCGCCAGCUAAGGUCCCAAAGUCAUGGUUAAGUGGGAAACGAUGUGGGAAGGCCCAGACAGCCAGGAUGUUGGCUUAGAAGCAGCCAUCAUUUAAAGAAAGCGUAAUAGCUCACUGGUCGAGUCGGCCUGCGCGGAAGAUGUAACGGGGCUAAACCAUGCACCGAAGCUGCGGCAGCGACGCUGAUGCGUUGUUGGGUAGGGGAGCGUUCUGUAAGCCUGUGAAGGUGUGCUGUGAGGCAUGCUGGAGGUAUCAGAAGUGCGAAUGCUGACAUAAGUAACGAUAAAGCGGGUGAAAAGCCCGCUCGCCGGAAGACCAAGGGUUCCUGUCCAACGUUAAUCGGGGCAGGGUGAGUCGACCCCUAAGGCGAGGCCGAAAGGCGUAGUCGAUGGGAAACAGGUUAAUAUUCCUGUACUUGGUGUUACUGCGAAGGGGGGACGGAGAAGGCUAUGUUGGCCGGGCGACGGUUGUCCCGGUUUAAGCGUGUAGGCUGGUUUUCCAGGCAAAUCCGGAAAAUCAAGGCUGAGGCGUGAUGCACGAGGCACUACGGUGCUGAAGCAACAAAUGCCCUGCUUCCAGGAAAAGCCUCUAAGCAUCAGGUAACAUCAAAUCGUACCCCAAACCGACACAGGUGGUCAGGUAGAGAAUACCAAGGCGCUUGAGAGAACUCGGGUGAAGGAACUAGGCAAAAUGGUGCCGUAACUUCGGGAGAAGGCACGCUGAUAUGUAGGUGAAGCGACUUGCUCGUGGAGCUGAAAUCAGUCGAAGAUACCAGCUGGCUGCAACUGUUUAUUAAAAACACAGCACUGUGCAAACACGAAAGUGGACGUAUACGGUGUGACGCCUGCCCGGUGCCGGAAGGUUAAUUGAUGGGGUCAGCGCAAGCGAAGCUCUUGAUCGAAGCCCCGGUAAACGGCGGCCGUAACUAUAACGGUCCUAAGGUAGCGAAAUUCCUUGUCGGGUAAGUUCCGACCUGCACGAAUGGCGUAAUGAUGGCCAGGCUGUCUCCACCCGAGACUCAGUGAAAUUGAACUCGCUGUGAAGAUGCAGUGUACCCGCGGCAAGACGGAAAGACCCCGUGAACCUUUACUAUAGCUUGACACUGAACAUUGAGCCUUGAUGUGUAGGAUAGGUGGGAGGCUUUGAAGUGUGGACGCCAGUCUGCAUGGAGCCGACCUUGAAAUACCACCCUUUAAUGUUUGAUGUUCUAACGUUGACCCGUAAUCCGGGUUGCGGACAGUGUCUGGUGGGUAGUUUGACUGGGGCGGUCUCCUCCUAAAGAGUAACGGAGGAGCACGAAGGUUGGCUAAUCCCGGUCGGACAUCAGGAGGUUAGUGCAAUGGCAUAAGCCAGCUUGACUGCGAGCGUGACGGCGCGAGCAGGUGCGAAAGCAGGUCAUAGUGAUCCGGUGGUUCUGAAUGGAAGGGCCAUCGCUCAACGGAUAAAAGGUACUCCGGGGAUAACAGGCUGAUACCGCCCAAGAGUUCAUAUCGACGGCGGUGUUUGGCACCUCGAUGUCGGCUCAUCACAUCCAUCGGGCUGAAGUAGGUCCCAAGGGUAUGGCUGUUCGCCAUUUAAAGUGGUACGCGAGCUGGGUUUAGAACGUCGUGAGACAGUUCGGUCCCUAUCUGCCGUGGGCGCUGGAGAACUGAGGGGGGCUGCUCCUAGUACGAGAGGACCGGAGUGGACGCAUCACUGGUGUUCGGGUUGUCAUGCCAAUGGCACUGCCCGGUAGCUAAAUGCGGAAGAGAUAAGUGCUGAAAGCAUCUAAGCACGAAACUUGCCCCGAGAUGAGUUCUCCCUGACCCUUUAAGGGUCCUGAAGGAACGUUGAAGACGACGACGUUGAUAGGCCGGGUGUGUAAGCGCAGCGAUGCGUUGAGCUAACCGGUACUAAUGAACCGUGAGGCUUAACCUUACAACGCCGAAG
rnacentral:rRNA from 1 species